rnacentral:lncRNA from 1 species
UUUUCAUUCAUGUUUGUCCUUAGUAUGGCCAACUUUAACUACGGUUGGGGACCAGGAAAGUUGAACAAAACCAAUUGCCCAUAUGGUAAUAAUCACCCAAAUGCUACUCAAACCUCAAAUAAAUUGAACGUUGGUGGUUCCGAAAAUUGGCGUUAUGGAUUUGACUACAUGGAUUGGGCUCGUAAGAGUGGCCCUUUCUUUGUCAAUGACACAUUAGGUACGUACGUCUUCUUUCAUUUAAAAAUUGAAAGGAAUGUAAGUUACUAACUUUAAAUUUCUGAAUUCGUUUAUGUGCAGUUUUCAAGUAUGAUGCACCAAACCCGAAUGGAGGAUUUCCUCACAGUGUAUACUUAUUACCAAACUAUUGGAGCUUCAUCAAGUGCGACUUGAGAAGAGCUAAGAGGAUAGCAAAUCCGAUCCAGGGUGCAGGGGAAGGUUUCGAGUUUGUGCUGAAGAAAUCACAGCCCUACUUUUUUGCUUGUGGAGAGCAUGGGGGCAUCCAUUGCAAUAAUGGUACUAUGAAGUUUGUUGUCAUGCCACUCAAACGUUGGCCUUUCUAAGUUACGUUGGCUGCUCCAAACUUGUCGAAUAAUUGAGGCACCAAAUACAAUACUUAGUAACCUUUUGCAUUUUAGUUUUGUUUGGAACUAAAUAACAAGUCUUAUUAGAUAUUGGAAUUUUACUUUGAAUUUAUAUGUUGUGAUUGAAGUUUUGACCAAAAAAAAAGAUUGAUAAUGAUAUAUAUAUAUAUAUAUCGUUUCAAAAUGUGUUUCGACGUGAAAUUCGUUAUAAAUAAAAUGAAGAGAAAGCCAGAAAGAGGCCAAUGUUGAUGAACUCAUUGUACUAUUCAUUGUAUUGUUUUUUGCAUUAAAUCAAAAUAAAAUAAAAGUAAUAGUAAUAUACUAAUAUGUUAUUUUCCUUCUAAACUAAAGAAAAUUAUAUAUUUUUUCAAUUAAUGUAAAUUUAGACUUGAAAGAAACAGAAAUUAUAUUAUAGAAUACUUUUAAACUAAAAAGGCAAAUAAAUUAUAUUGUGACUUUACUGAAUAAAAUCUUAUUAAUUAACCAAUAAAAGUAUAUGCAUAAAAACAGUUGUUGAUAACAUAUAUGCUAUUGUUUCUGUUGAGUGAUAGCUACCUUGCCAUUGUUAGGGAAAUUGAGAGAGUAAUUGAGAGAUGAAGAAAAAGAUAAAUGAAACAGUGAGAAUUGUAUUAACCGACUUGCCUCUUUACACUAUUUAUACACAGUUCUCUGACUAACUAGAAUUAAUUAGAAACUAUCUUUUAAAACUAAUUAACAAACUUAACAAAUCCAACUAACUAAUUGUAUUGUUCAGCUUAACAGUUUCUUUCAUAAAAAAUCCAUUAAAGGGAGGGAUGCUCAAACUAUUUAAUUAAAUUCAAUUUGGUUCUACUUUAUAAUUUGGACUACACUAAACAGCUCGUCCGAUUUUGUUAUUUAUAAGCCAAAUUAAAUUUAAAACAAAUUCUUUUCUUCAUCGUGAUUAUUACGUAGCUAACCAAAAAAUCAUCAGAAAUUUGAGCGCAUUACCCGAAUUAUACCUUUAUGAAUAUUUUUGGUGUGUGUCCAUUAAUUUGAAACUUGAAACAUCCAUAUUUUCUUUUUCCUUUUUUUUUUACUUUUCUGCUUGUAUUUGUAUUUUUUUUUUAAUGUUAUUAUGGGUAGAGUAUAUAUUGUAUCUAGUUACUAGGAAUUAGAAUUUGUGGGGGAAAUAGAUUUUUAGAGUUUAAGUAAGUUUAGGAUUGUAUUUUUUUUUUCUAGAUUUAAAAUAGGAAUAAAAAAUUUAUGUUUAGGAUUUUUUUUUUUUUUUAGCUACAUGUUUUUCUUCUUUAUUUUUAACGUUCUGUUGCUCUUAUUUAUUUUUUUUGUCUUACGUUUUGUUAUCUUUUCUUAUUUCUAUAUAAUUUUUUUACCAAGCAAAAUAUAGGUUCAUUAACUAAACUAAAAGCGAAAUCAGUAAGAUUCCCAGAAUAAACUCAAAGCCUUUCAUACAGAAACCAGUAAAACAUUCCUCGAAUCCCAUGUCGUCAUCAGAUUCCUCUUUCUUCUCCUCAGCAGCUGGUGCUGCAGAUACAGCUACUGCAACUCCACCACCACCAGCGGGUACUGACUUGGGACAAGAGGAGUUCAAUCCUAUCAUCAUCAGCAAGGAUCUUCUUCAAAUCUGCAGCAGAUGGGGAGGUGUUGCCACCCAACAAGUAAGAAGCGAUAACCUUCAUUUUCUUAUUUUCUGAGAUUUGUAAGCUUUAAUGGCGUAGAGCUGCUGCUGCUGCUGCUUCUUACUUUCUGGUUUAAAUUUUUUUGUUUCUAUUACGCUUUAUUUUAUUUUAUUUUUCUUUUCUGUUCGCGUUUGUUCUGUUUUUUUAUUAUUAUUUUUUUCUUAUGCUUUCUCAUUUUUUUUAUAAAAUCAGUUUUCCUAAUUAUUCAUUAUUUUAUUUUUUUACCAUAAAUCUCUAAAUAAUAUUCAUUUAUCCUCUUAAUUAUAUACCUUAAUAAUUCAAAUUAAAGCGAUAAUCAUCUUAACGCUUAUUCUAAAGGUAAACUAUUUUUUAUCAAAAUAAUAUAUUAAAGAAAAAACUAAAACACAUUCCACAUAGGUUUUCUAAAUCACUAAUCAAUUAAACUUUAGUUUAUAUCCUAAUCUAACAAGUUUACGAACAAUUUCAACUAAAUUUUCUUAAGUGAAAACUAAGCUCCAAGAAACAUUAACUAUUCAAAAUUAAAUAUCACGAAACCAAUUUCAAUAUUAAUUAAUAAAAAAAAAUAUAUGAUACAUCUUUUAUUUUUAUUUUUAUAUUAUUUUUUUUAGCAAGAAACGUCUUCAGUUUCAUUUUCCUAAGCAUUCGUAAAUUCUCAAAAAUAAUCACAACAUGCAUCACAGAUUGAUAUUACAUAAUAAUAACAUGCGAUUAAAAAAACUUCAUAUUAUUGGAAUCGAGUUUUCGUACAAGUAUUCUAUUUAAAUCAUGCGAAAAUUUAGAGUUACCUCACUGCGAAAAUUGAUACCACAAAAAUAACUGCUACGAUCUACUGAUUUCCAAAGUUAAUAGCUAAUAUUAACUUUAAAGAACCACGAAUCCGAAACCUUGAGUGAAACCUCGAACGCUGACUUAAUUCUCAAAAUAAAAACUCACUUUUGUUAUCUUUUUCUCUUUGUGUUUUUUUUCUCUCGUUUCUUCUGUGUGUUUUUUAUAAUAGUUUUGGGUGUGAGUAUGGUGCUAAUUAAAAGGAAUGUGAGAGAGUGGGGAAUUUAGUUUAAAAUUUAGUUGAUAAUUUUAGGGUUGAGAUAAAGGAAUAAAAUAAAAAUAGUAAUAUAAUAUUAACAAAACAAUAAAUAAAAAAUAAAACAAAUAAAAAGAAAAAGUAGGAAAACGUGUAUUGUUAAGAAAAGAUCGUGCAAGAGAAAAAAAAAAGAAUAAAUAAAUAAAAAUAAAAUAAACUAAAUGGGAGGAGGAAUUUUAGGAAAUAAGUUAAGGAAAUUGGGGAUAAUUAUGAUAAAGAUUAAAGGGUAAGGUAAUUUGAAAUUUUAGGACUCUUCUUUUUUUAUCUUUUUCUUCUACUUUUUCAUGAUAUAUACGAUUUUUUUUUUUUUUUUAGACUAGUUAAAAGUCGAAGGAUUAAAACAAAUACAUUAAAUUCACAAGCUUUUUAAAUUAAAUUUUAAACAUAAAGUGAGCUUAUAAUUUGUUGUAAUUUUUCAAAUUUUUUUAAAUUUAAAUAUAAUCCUACUGAAAUAAUAAUAUAUAAAUAUUAAAAUUGGUAUAAAAUCUUUAUGUUUUGGUCAAAAACUAGGUGUUCACAGCACUCUUUAAUAAUGUGUACAUUUAUUAUCGCUAAAAAUUGUUUCUGUUAUAGUGUAAAUAUUAGUUUGCAAAGAUAAGUGGCAACUAACAUACAAUUGAUUAAUUUGCCAAUGAAAAUCUGCAUUGCAAGUUUGAAUAGUCCAAAAAAUCUUUGAAAUGUUUGUAUAUCCUAGUGUUAGUUAAGAUGAUCGAUUUGAAUGCGCGGAAUCAAUGUGUUCCUAGCUAGUCCAGUUAAUAAGUUAGAUAAAGGUAAAUCUAAAAUUUAAACUAUCUGGUUUAACCUUUUUAAAUUCUUAGCAUUAAAUCUAUUGUUUUCUUAAAGUUAUAAGUUAAAAUUUACUCUUUAUAUUAUUACAAUAUUAAUAAGUUUUUACGAAUAAAUUUACUGUACUCCAUGCCAAAAGUAUGGCAUAUAUAUCCCCUAUGUGACAACUAUUUAAUUGAUCGUAAAAUAUAGGUGAAAUGGUCUAAUGGACCCUUGUACUUGUAUAAGUUUGUAUUCUAGACCUUUUUUUACUUAAUCUUUUGCCAACUGAACGCUUAUACUCAAUUAAAAUGAGAUGUUUAAACCCUCUAACCAUUGACCCAGCUUAUGUGGCAUUUAUUUUGCUGACUCAAUUAUAGUGCGUGGUUUCACACUUAAAAAGGUGAGUGAAAGCAAUGAAUUUGCUUUAAAAAUAAUUAAAUAAUAAAAAAGAAGAAGGAAAAAACAAAUUAAAGUUCCCAACCCGUCCCUCUUCUUCUCCCUUGGCUUCCGACGUUUUGAGAAAACGGUGCAGAUCUCAGCGUCCCUUGCGAUGCCAUUUUCAUCUGCAUCUUCACCCAUUUUGUCCAUUGAACCUUCGUUAAUGAUUAAGUGUUUUAGUGAGUUUUAGCAUAAUCAAUGGAAGUUUUAGAUGUUGAACAAGAAGGCUGAUUUUGCUCCGGUGGUUAUGUGAUGAUUUUGCUUCGGUGGUGAUUUUGCUCUGGUGGCUUUCUCCGCCCAUUCUGUUCAUACGUUUUUUUUUUGUGUUGAGAUCUAGGUUUGAUUGUGGGUGGUCUUAUUCUUCGAGCCUCAAAAAUCUGCCAUAAGAUCUAACAUUAAUAAAACAUUGUCCGUUUAUAUUAGUUUUGAGAUCUGGGUUUGAGCUGUGGCUUUCUGAGCUUCAUAGUCAUUUUCCAAAGAAGAAAAGAAUUAGGAGAAAGGAGAUCAAUGAAAAAAAUUUCUUGUUUUCUUAUGUUGUAUUUAUCCUGUUGUAGCCAUUGAUAAAAUUUUAGCCUGCCUAAUUAUCUUUUCAAUUGAAGUUCAAGGAAGAAGGAAAGUGAUUCAUCAUUUCAAAGAUUACUUUUGGAUUUCUGUUUUUUCUUUCUGUGUUUGGUGGUGAUGGGUUGAGGAAGGUGGAGGAAAAGUGAGAGAAAUAAUUAUUUUGUUUAUAUUUUAAAUAGAAAACUUAGAAUUUUUAUAUUUUAUUUGAAUGACAUUUUUAGUUAAUAAUUUAAAAAAUGUUAAGAAAUAAUUAUGACAUGGCAUUAAUAUAUAUGAUGUGGAUAUGACAAGUCAUUUAUGUUAGAGAGAGUGAGUUACACACAUGGUUGGAGGGGUUAAAAAAUUUCAUUUUAAUUGAGUUUAAGGGUUCAGUUGACAAAGAGUCAAGUAAAAGGGUUCAGAAUACAAACGCAUACAAGUACAAGGGUCCACCAGACCAUUUCGCCUAAAAUAUAUAAACGGCCACGGAUUUAAGUUCUACAUACAUUUGAUAGUGUAAUUUUCGUUUUAGCCACACUGUGUUAGAGUUUUUCCCUGAUUUUCUUACCUGAAGUUUAUUUUUUUCUAAGAGAAAAGACAAAACAUUACCAUAAAUGUUUUUACUUUUCCUGUUCAGGAAAAUAUAAUUUUCUUUCAUAGUUGGUUUAUUCUUUCCUUAGAGGGAAAGUUUAGAGAUCUAUAAAUUGAAGAUCCCUAUUUUCAUAACAGAACACAAUAGAAUCCACAAUGUUGACGUUUAGAGAGUUUUGUUUAUGGGGAGAUUUUUUCUCUAUAGUUUUAAGGUUUUUUUUAGUUUUAUAAUAUGUAGGCCAAUUGGCCAAAUUCCAUAUAAUAAUAUUUUGAUCUUUAGUAUAAGCACGUUUUUGUCAAUUUGAUUUAUCAACCAUAUGAUUUGCAAUUGUAACCUUUCACAUGACACCAUAAUCACUUUCGAACCCAACAUUGUGUUGGGUUCGAAAGUGAUUAGGGCGUAGUGCGGAAUCUUAUAAUUGCAAAUCAUGACAUUGAUAAAUCAGAUGACAAAAACUUAUACUAAAAAUCAAAAUAUUAUUAUAUGGAAUUUGGCCAACCGACCUUCAUAUGAAAAACUAAUAAAAAUAUUAAAAUUGUAGAGAGAAAAUCUCCCCAUAGACAAAAGUCUGUGAACGACUACAUUGUAGAUGUUAUUGUUAUACUAUGAGAAUAAGGAUCUUCAAUUUAUAGAUCUCCAAACUUUUCCUUUAAGGGUAGAAUAAAUCAAAUAUGAUAGAAAAUAACUUUUUCUUUUCAGAAAAAGUUAAAUCAUUUAUAAUAAUACUUUGACUUUUCUUUUAAGAAAAAAAUAAACUUUAAAUAAAAUAAGAAAAUCAAGGCAAAACUCUAACACUGCUCUAAUAUGCAAACAUAUGAAAAGUGAAAACUUAAGUUAAACAUGUUUAAUAGAGAAAUAUAUGAACCCCUAAUUAGGAUAUCUCAAGUGUAGAAGCGAUCUGCAGCAAAAGUGCUAAUUAGUAGGUCGAAAUUAAAAGUGUGUAAGCAACUCGGUGAAUUCGGUCAGUAACCAUUUUCAUAUUCUUAAACUUUAUUUUUAAAGGAAUAGGCGUAAUUAAUUACCAAAUCUCACGUUGAAAAACAAAAGUGAAUUUUGGAAAAGGCAAUCAAGUGUUUUUUGCACUAAUUUUCUUGUCUCACCAACCAAUUACUUCAAGAAAAUGUUGACUGAUUACAUUUUCUAAUUAGUCAUAAUUCUGUCGUUGCCUUACUAUAUAUAGCCCAUUAUUUUGGCUUUCUCAUCACCACACAAUCAAUUCCAUUUUUCUUCUAUCUUAAUUGGAAAAACAAGAAGCUACCUUUUUAUUUGUGCAAAAAUAUAAUGGCUUUGGCUAAUGUACAAGCAUUUUUGUUUCUUGUAGUGUUUUCCUUCAUGUUUGUCCUUAGUAUGGCAAACUUUAACUACACUUGGGCCGGAGGUAAGUGGAACAAAACCAAUUGCCCCUAUGGUAAUAAUCACCCAAAUGCAACUCAAACUUCAAAUAAGUUGAACGUUGGUGGUUCCGAAAAUUGGCAUUAUGGCUUCGACUACAUGGAUUGGGCUCGCAUGAAUGGUCCUUUCUUUGUCAAUGACACUUUAGGUACGUCUUCUUUGAUUUUAAAAAUUGAAAGGAAUAUAGAGUUACCCAUCGCUAUUUAUUGAUGACAACUCUAAAAAAAUAAAGGAGCAUGCAUUAAUUAUUUGCUUAUUAGCUAAUUUAAUUACAUGCAGUUUUCAAGUAUGAUCCACCAAAUUCCAACGGUGGAUUUCCACACAGUGUAUACUUAUUACCAAACUAUUGGAGCUUCAUAAAGUGCGACUUGAGAAGAGCUAAGAGGAUAGCAAAUCCGAACCAGGGUGCAGGGAAAGGAUUCGAGUUUGUGCUGAAGAAAUCAGAGCCUUACUUUUUUGCUUGUGGAGAGCAUGGAGGCAUACAUUGCAACAACGGUACUAUGAAGUUUGUUGUCAUGCCACUCAAACGUUGGCCUUUCUGAGUCAUGUUGUUGUUCCAAACUGUCGGAGAAUUACGGCACCAAAUACAAUACUAGUUAUAACUUUUUGCAUUUUACUUCUGUUGGGAACGAAUAAUUAGAAUAACGUGUAUUAAACUUAUUUAUUAUUUAUUGUAAUUUUACUCUAAUAUGAAUUUAUAUUGUAUUUGGAGUUUUGACAAACAAAGAUCGAUUGAUAUUUGAUUUGUUGAAAAAAAUAGUAAUAUUCUACGCAGUUUACGUGAAAUUCUUAGGGAGCGAUUCGACCAUAAAUUUUCAAAUAUUUUUGAGCAAUUAGAUUUGGGUGGAGUUUGAAUUGAAGUUUCUAUAUAUAUGUUUUGAUCAUAGUUUUUGAAAAACAUAUUCACUUUUUUUUUAUGAAAAACAUAAAACAUGUCUAAUCUAUUCAUAAGUUCUAAAAAAUCAUUAAAAUUAUCAAUUUGUUUGACAAAAAAAUACUAUUUUUAUAAUGUACUAGAUAAUACAUUUAUCAAAAAAUCAGAGCACAAACUUUUAAUAAAAACUACUAAUAACAUGAUUAUAGAUUGUUAUAAAUCGUCAAAUUAUAAUUAAUUACAAAUAUCCCAGGCAAGAAUAAUAAUAAUAAUAAUAAUAUAACAACAACAACCACGAUGGUAAAUAGCUAUUCAUUAAUAUAUAUAAUCUUCCCACCUUAAUAUUCAAACCAUCUCUUCACAUCGAGUACACAUUUUCAGAUUAUCAAAAUCAAAUGAACAUUGUUACUUUGAAGGGUUGGGUAUUUUGAUUUAUAGUUGGAGACAUAAUUGAUAGACUUUUUUAUAUAUAUAAAAUAUUAAAGUUUGGAAUAAAUCUUAGAAUUUUAAUAGAACUUCACAAAGUAUAUUUUGAACUAAAAUCACCUUGUUCUUCAUUUUUCUAGAUCUUGGUUUUUUACUAAAAUAUUUUGAACUUAGCAAAUAUUUAAUUAAUUUCAUUUUGGUUUUUCUUUAUACUCAUCUUUGAAGAACUCAACAAUAUUUAUUUUUUUGUUUUACUCACUGCCUUUUCCACAAUUUGUCCCAUUAGGCAUUAGCUCCGGCCACAAUGACUUACCUACACACACAUUAACAAAUACAAUCUCAUUUUUUUAUUUUUACAAGAGUCAUUCGUUAUAACAAUAUUGUUACAAUUAAAUCAGGUUAUAAAAUUUAACAGAAAAUUAACCAAGCAGAAAUCUUGCACUGUUCAAACGUACACCUAGAAGUACUCAUAUUUGGCUAAUUAGUUCUCUAAUUAUAUUAUAGAUGUGCAAUUGUUUGUAGAAAAUAAUUCUGGGGUGUCUUUAUUUAUAGGUGAAAUUUGUCUUCGGUUUUAAUAAUUUUUUCCGUAUUUGAAAAUUUACUUAGGAGUUGAAAAAUAGAGAACUUAAGGUUAGUUGUUUAAUUUAUUAUCUUAUAUAGAGAUAUCAAAAACAUAAUUAUAUUGGAAAAAUACAUAAAUUGUAUUCUAAAUUCGUCACAAAAAAAUAUUUACACCCUCCAAAUAAUUUUUCCCCUAACUGCAUCAAUCUGUACGUGCUUGCGCAAAAAGAAUUUCAAAACAAACUAAAAUGUUUGUUUUUUUUAGUACAUUUAAUUUUAACUAGUAUAUUUGUCCACAUUUCUCACAGAUUUAUUUUGUGAAAAAAAAUAUAAUUUUUGUAAGGGAUUUGCCUUUUUUUUUGCUGUACAACCACUGAUAUAAGUCAUGGUAUAAUUUUUACUAUAGCCACUGCUCUAUGUGCAAACCUGUGAACACAGAAAAAUAAGUAAAACUUGUAAAACAUGUUUAAUAGAGAAAUAAUAUAUGAACCCCUAAUUAUUUAGGAUAUAUAUAUUUCAAUUCUCAAGUGUAGAAGCAAAUGCUCUAAAUUCUAAUUAGUACGACGAAAAGUGUCUAACAACUCAGUAAAUUGGGUCCGUAACCACUUUGAUAUUCUUAGAAAUGAAUUUUGGGUGUAGUGGUGGACUUGGAGAUAGUUAAUUACCAAGUCUCACUUUGGAAAAAAAAGAGGCGAUGAAGUGUUUUUUGCACUAAUUUUCGUGUCUCACCAACCAACUUCAACAAAAUGUUGACUCAUUUUUGUUUUCUCAUUUCCUAAUUAGUCAUUUUUUUUGUAUUUGCCUUGCUAUAUAUAGCCCAUCAUUUUGGCUCUAUCAUCACCACAAUCAAUUCCAUUUCUCUUCUUAUCUUCAUUGGCUAAACAAGAAGCUACCUAUUUAAUUGUGGCAAAAAUAUAAUGGCUUUGGCUAAUGCACAAGUAUUUUUGUUUCUUAUAGUGUUUUCUUUCAUGUUUGUUCUUAGUAUGGCCAACUUUAACUACACUUGGGCCGGUGGAAAGUGGAACAAAACCAAUUGCCCCUAUGGUAAUAACUAUCACCCAAAUGCAACUCAAACUUCAAAUAAAUUCAACGUUGGUGGUUCCGAAAAUUGGCAUUAUGGCUUCGAUUAUAUGGAUUGGGCUCGCAAGAAUGGCCCUUUCUUUGUAAAUGAUACAUUAGGUACGUAUGUCUUUUUUCAUUUUAAAAAUUGAAAGGAUUAUAUAUAGAGUUACAUGUCGCUAUCUUGCUUAUUAGCUUUAAAUUUCUGAAUUCAUUUAUGUGCAGUUUUCAAGUAUGAUGCACCGAAUCCAAAUGGAGGAUUUCCACACAGUGUAUACUUAUUACCAAACUAUUGGAGCUUUAUCAAGUGCGACUUGAGAAGGGCUAAGAGGAUAGCAAAUCCAAACCAGGGUGCAGGGAAAGGUUUCGAGUUCGUGCUGAAGAAAUCACAACCCUACUUUUUUGCUUGUGGAGAGCAUGGGGGAAUCCAUUGCAACAAUGGUACUAUGAAGUUUGUUGUCAUGCCACUCAAACGUUGGCCUUUCUGAGUUACGUGUCUUUACGGCACCAAAUACAAUACUUAGUAUAACUUUUUGCAUUCUAGUUUUGUUUGGAACAAAAUAACGAGUCUUAGCGUUGAGUACACUUAUUAUUAGAUACUCCUAUAUUGGAAUUUUAUUUUGGAUUUAUUGUGAUUGAAGUUUUGACCAAAAAUAAAUAAAUUGAUAAUUAAUGAGAUAUAUAUGUAACUAUUUCAUGUUCAGAUAUUUGAAUUGUUUACGAAAUCUUGCAGAUAAUUAAGCUUGAAUGUUUGCACGUUUUGACUAUAAUCUGCCUUUUGAGUUUUGCACUUUGUCAUAUGUAUUAUUUUAAAAUAUUUUUUGACUUGAAAUUUGAAAUAGAAAGAAUCAGAGAAACUAGAGAAUAUGUUGAUGAGCUGACUCACUGCAUUGUUUCUAGUAUUAAAUUAAAAUUAGACUACAUCACUAUUUAUAGAGAAUUAAAGUAAAUAAAAUAGAAGGGGUUAUGGGAAUAUGCUAUUUUCUUUAUUAAUUCUAAGCUAAUAUAUAUAAUAAAGCUAGAUAAAAAAGAAGUGAUGUGACACCUCUCAAUGGCCAAAGAUCCUAUUUAUCUUUUUUCUCCUUUAUUUGACCUUUUUUUUUCAUUUAAAAAUUCAUAAAAUAUCAAUUAUUUAAAUGACACAAAAUUCUACAAAAAAUUAGUUAUAUUAAAUUGUUUGCACAUUGAUUUACAAAUUGUGGCUAUUGCACUACUUCUAUCCGUUAGUGCCAUUGCAUGCCUUAUUAACUCUCAUUUGGAGUGUCUUUUGUGUGCAAUAUUUAGUGUCUUAGGUUACAUUUCUCUCAUAAUUGUACAGCAAUUGCUUUUGCACGUUAACUCUCAUUUAGAGAGUCAUAAUUUUGCAGCAAUUAUUUUUGCACGUAAUGUCAAUAUAUGCCUUCUUUAUUCAUCGUUUGUAACAUUUAGACUAUUUGUUUAUCUUAUUAAAUUUUCCAUAUUAUUAUUAUUCAUUGUAAGGUAGACUUUUUCACCUAUAAUAGUGAUAGUUUUACUUUAUUUUGUGUACAAGAAAAUAUUAAGUGCAUAAAAAAAUGAGUUCUUAUUAGUUGAAGAAAUGUGUUCUUUUUAGAUGGUCCAAUUGGUUACGAUUAAUUAAGAGACUCAACAAUAAAUAUAUGUUCAAUUCAACUUAUUUAAAUUAAACGAACUGUGUUUUCAUAAAUUAAAUCUGUCGCAUUUAAUAAAAAAUACGAGAUAGCAUACAAAUGUUGCUGCCCCUGUAAUAGGACGACGUACGUAGUAGUAAACAUAGAUCAAAAUUGAAAACAACUUUAUUGAUAAAAUUCCAUUGAAAUAAAUAGAAAUUAAGUGAGAAACUAAUUUUGUUCAACAAAUAACAGGUGGGAGAGCAACCUUGUUGGUGUCAUCAACAAAGACAACAACACGAGCACAAUCCACUGGCAAUGGAAUUGGCUUAGACAUGUUCAACACCUUAACAUGAACACUUGGGUUCUCUGUCUGAAUUACACUCACUGCUUUGGCCACAUUUGUUCCCAUUAGCUCUGGCCACGAUGACUUACCUAUAUACACACAUUAACAAAUACAGUCAAAUCUCUCUAUACCAAUCAAUCGUUAUAACAACCAAAAGCAAAAAAAUUAACUUACCAGUAACCUUGCAUGCGGACGAACAGCCAGCAGUACUCAUAUUUGGCUAAUUAAUCUAUCCAAUUCUAUUAUAGAUGUGCAAUUGUUUGUAGAAAAUCAGUCUGGGGGUGUCUAUAUUUAUAGGUGUAAUUUGUCUUUGGUUUUAAUAUUUUUUCCAUAUUUGAACAUUUACUUGGGAGUUGAAAAAUAUACUUACAACUUAAGGUUGGUUAUUUAAUUUAUUAACAUAUAUAUAUAUAUAUAGAGUAGAGAUAUCAAACACAUCAUUAUAUUGGGAAAAUAAAUAAAUUGUAUUCUAAAUUUGUCCAAAAAAAUUAUUUACACUCCAAAUAUGUGUGGAUUUUCUUACAUUUAUAUUUUUUCCCAAUAAAGAGUUGCGUGACAUGGAAAGUGCUUUUGCCAAAAAAACGUUAAAAUUGUAAGGAGGUUUUUUCUAUUCCAACUUUCAUUAGUCAUUCAAGAAGAAAACUAGAAUAGUUUGUAAAAAAUAGUAUUUUGUUAGCCACAUAGUUCUUGUUCAUAUGAUUUAGUCGAAAAUCAUUAUUCAUUCCCAUCCUGCAUUAUAUUAUUUUGAACAUUUUAGUUUUGAUUUGAGUACUGAGUUGAAUAUUAAUGAUUUCUUUGGGAUUAUGUAAUUUUGAUUUGACUACUUUAAAUUUGAUUUUUUAUUUAAAUAGUAGUGUAGUUUUUAUUUGAAUGUUAUGGUUUUGAAUACCGAAGCUUUUUUUUAAUACAUAUCAUUGUAUAUGUAUAAUAUACAUGAUCAUCGUAUAUGUAUUGUAUAUUUGGGAUAGCGCCGGUAAUUACCAGACUCAUUUUCUUUUCAUUAAAAUAAGCUUUUAUAGCUGAAUGUUCUGUGGUAGUAAGCUCUUAAUUUCUAGGAUGGUGAUCAAUGAAUUAUACAUAGUGUCCCAAAUAAAUAUUAAUGAAUAUGCACGUAAUUUUCUGCGUACACUUUAUCCUUUUUAUAUGCAUUUGUAGAUUAUCUUCUCUUUCUUUUUUUUCCACAUUGCCUCGUCAGAUGAAUUUUCUAGCAAAGGAUUUUUUAGCAUUUUGUAUAGUUCUAGGAUUUAUAAAAGAACUCGUUCCGUCUUUUGCCACAUUAAGCGCAGACAUGAUUUUCUUGUAAAAUUGUUUAACAAUCAAAAGCAAAGAUAUUUCUAUUAUAUAGAACAGCGAGAAGGACGACUAAUGGCAUUUUAGUAAUUUUAACAUCAUUUAAAGACAAAAUAAUAAUUAUGUGAUGAAAGAACAUUAAGUCAUUACAAGUGAUUUCUUCUGGAAAAAUAAUAAUAUUUCUUAAUAAGACUUUAUAGUAUGGUGAAUCAAAAAGAAAUAAACAAAGAUAAACAAAACUGGAUGAUAAUCCUGAUCAUGCGAAAAUUUAUCGAUACUAUAGUGCUUGAACCUGCUAACGAAUAUAUACCUACAUCGAAAAAUCAAGUUACGGAGGAGACUGAAAAUAAGUGGACUCCAUCAUCGACGGGUUUUGUGAUGAACAAGAAGAUCACAGUGUUGAUGAUGCAAACACGACCAGACAGAAUACUAAUAUUUUAAAGUUGCCUUCUUCUCUUCUUACAUAUUACUUGUUUUAGAGUAUUAGUUUUAAAACACAUAAAAUAUUUAAUUUCACAUUGUAAUAUUAUUAUUUAUAAAAGUAAGAAUUAAUUUUAAUUAAUAAAAAGUGAUUCAUUUGAUUGUAAUACAUUACGUUGGAUGUUGUUGUAAAUCAUAUUUUUUUAAUAAUAUGAAGAUUUGAGUUGUUUAAUUCAACGUUUUAAAAUAUUUCGGUAAAAAGUAGAUAGUUUUUUCUUUCUUUCUUUUUUUGAUGUAAUUUUUGUAAGUUUUCUUACCGUCUUCAAUAUUAUUAAACUGAAAUUAAUAUCAUAAAAUUAAAAAUUUUUUUUGAGAUAUUGUGUGCAUAAAUAAUCCCUUGUGUUGAAAUAAUAAAUGACUCCAUAGGGUCAUAUUGUUUAAACUUAAUAAAAUUAUUCUUAAAUUAUAAAUACAGUCAAAUCUCUUUAUAACAAUAUCGUUGGUCAAAAUUUUAAUUAUUUUAACAAGAUAUUAUUAUAGAAAACAUAUAUAUACUAUAACAUAAAUCAAUUUCAAUAAACUUUUAGAAUGUUACAUAAAGGUUUGCCUAUACCAACAUAUAAAGUACAUCCCAAGUAAGUGAUGGGAAAUUUGACAUAUUUCUAUAACUAAUAAUAUUAUUGAUCCUUCGAAUAUUGUAGAUAUUACUCCCAAUAUUCCUAAUUACUUGUCCAAUUUUAAAUUGACACACCUAUUAAGAAAAUAAUUAUUGACUUAGUGAGUUUACCAUUUUACCUCUAUUAAUUAUGAAGUGAAUAACUUAAAAAUUUAAGAUUUUCAAGAAGUUUUACCUUUUUUCAAAAUAAUUAAUUGAGGAUAUAAUAGGUAAAAAGAAUGUCUUUUCUUAAUUUGUCAAAAUGAACAAGUAAUUAGGAACAACUAAAAAGGGAAAAUGGACAAUAACUAGAGACAGAGGGAGUAGUAAUAUGGAUAUAGUAAGAGAUAACUUUUGUCUUUGUUGAUGAGUUAGGCCAAAUUUUUUUCGAGUUAAUAUCCCAAUGGUCAUUCAACUAAGAAGUUUUAUCAUAGAAAGUCACUUAAUUUUAAUUUUUACUUCAAAAGUCACUCAAUUAUAAGUGUUUACUUACAAAGUCACUCAAUACUUUGAUUUUUACUUCAAAAGUCGCUCAAUAAACAAUUUCUAAAAAGAAAUCAUUUAAAGUCAUUUGUUUGAUUUAUUAUCUGCAAACAAUUUAAAUAACUAAAUAACGUAUUUAAUAAUUAGGUAAUUUUAUUUAAAUUAAAGAUAAUAUUUUCUAGUAAUCAAUUUUUUAAAAGGAAAGAACUGUGAAGGUAUUGUAAUUUUUUUUAAAAAGGUUUAAUGAAUCAUUUUUUUAAAUAACUAAAUAACGUAUUGUAAACAUUUUAAAAGAGGAUUGAAUGGAUAUAUUUUUAUUUUUUUUAGAAUUCGAUUUUAAAUAAAAAUUUCAUGUAAGCAAAGUUUAAUGAAAAAAUAAUUAAAUAGGUUGACUGACUUUAUAAGUAAAAUAUUUUUAAUUGAAUAACUUUUGAAGUAAAAAUCAAAGUUAAUUGAUUUUUUUAGUUAAAAAAAACUUAUAGUUGAGUGACUUUCUGUGAUAAUUAUAGGGCAUAUUAACUCAUCUCAACUCAUUCAAGCCUAAAUCAUUUUUUAAAAUAAACUUUUAUUGAGCCCAAUUUAAUUUUCAAUUUCAAUAUGUUAUAAGACUCUUUAUUUGCAUUAAUGUAAUGUAUGUUCUCAUAUUGAAAGUAUAAAUUACAAUUUAUUUCAUAUCUUCUAGGAUUUAUCUAUUCAUUUAUAACUUAUUUUUGUUAUUUUCUUGAGUUGAAAUUCAAAUUGUGGUUAUAAAAGCUAAAUAACAAUAUAUUAAAAUUAUUGAGAUUAAGUAGGUCAAAUUGGGUUGGUCAUGACCCAACCCGAAUUUUAGCCCAUUUAAGCCCAAAGUAAACUUGGGCGGGUCAUAACCCGACCCAAUAUCUAUUUAAACCUAUUUUAAUAUCUCUAAUUUCAACUCAACCCUCCAAUGUAACACCCCUAAUCUAUAUAUAUAUAUAACUCCAUUACUAUUUAUCUUAUUCUCCUUUUUUUGGCUUUAUUUUAGAAUUUAAAUGAAUUAUUUUAUUAUAAAAUUAAAUCUAUUUAUUUAUUACAAAUAACUAUUUUAUUUAAGGAGGAACAUUUACAAUAAAGACUCUUCACAUGCCAAUUUAUAAUUAGUAAAUAUUCAUAACUCACACCUCUUUAAUUUCUACUCUUAAUAAAAAAAAAUCUUCUUCUUUUCUUUUUUUCCCUUCUUCCAAUGAUAAAUUAUAAAAUGAUAAUAUUUUUUAAUAUUUUAAAUAUAUUUCUCUUAUUAUUAAAUUAUUUACACCAUUAUAUAUUUAUAUAGAUUUCAAAGCUAGAUAUAGAUAAAGUAAUGUGCUACCCUCUCUAACUUAGGAUACCAUUUAUCUUUUUCCUCUUUUUUGAGUUUUUUCUUCAUUAUUUUUAUUAAUCAAUUUAUUUAAUAAUUAAAUUUUCUCAUAUUAUUGCAUCUAAUUAUAUCCCAUGAGUUACACUAAAAUAUAUACCUAUUUGUAUUCUCUACUUAAAUAAUAAUAACAUGUCUCAUCAACUUCUUUUUCCUAAUUUUUAAUGCUUAACCAAUCUAUAAAUAACAAUUAAAUAUAGAAAUGCUAGAUGCUCAUUUCUAUUUUCUCCCAUUUCUUUUUUAUCUUAGUUGAAAUUUUGUUGGCUUUCAAUGAAAUUAUUGUCUUUUGAUUCUUCAUUUUAAUUUUUGUUGGUUCUCUUUUCUAUUUAUUAGAUAUGUUAAUCAACUAAAUUUUGUUUGAUUGAUUUUCAGUAACAUUUGAAUGUGUAGGAAGGAAGUAAUCGUGGUAUUCAAUUUCACCAAAUCACUAAAGCAUUUGAGGUAAGUUUUUAUUUUAUCACCAACUUAUAGUGAUUGAAGAAAUAUUUUGUGUCUUUCAUUCUGUCAUUUUUUAUAGUGAAUUAGAAUGAGAAAAAAAUAGAGAUUUGAUUAAUUUUUCUAGAAUUAAAAUUACAAUUAAAUAUUAAACCAAUUUAUUAGUUAAGAAUUUUAUUUAUAACAUAGGGAUAAAAGCAAAAUAAUAUAAGAAUAUAUAAUUAAUUAGUAUAGAACAUAUAUGAAUCUUCCUUCUUGAUGUAUGUAGCGUUCAAUACAAAAAGAUAUUUUUCUUUUUUUAAAAAUUAAUUUCUAUGGUGUGAAUAUAUUUUGCUAAUUCUUUUUUUAUAUAUUUAUUUGUAUUGUAUUAUUUGUUAGUAAGAAAAAAAAAAAAUGAAAUACUACCUCUCUAUGGCAUAGAAAAAUAUUUUUUCCCUUAAAUUUUUAUACCAUUUUAUUUCUUAACAUUUAUGUGAUAUUAUUUUUAAAAAUCUAAAGUCAUCAUCUUUUCACAUUCUUUAUUCCACCUGUUAUAUUAACAUACAUACGUAGCUAACAUCCCUCAACUACUAUUUAUUAUUUCUCUCCUUAUUUUUCCUUUUACAAUCCUUCUUUCUACCUUCUCAACGUCAUAUGUAUUUGUACUUUAAAAGUUCUAGCCUUUUUCAAUUAUUUAUCUGUUGAUUUAUAGAUUUGCCUCUUCAGUCCUAUUUACUCUAUGAUUAAUGAAUUUUGAUUUUUUUUUAAUGUAUAUUUAAUUCCUUUUCAGUUGAAAAUACUGAAAAUUAUAGUUUCAAUUAUUAUUAUUUAUACUUAAUUUAUUUUCUACUUUUCAUGUUCAUUGAUUUCGUAUUGAAUGGUUAUGCUUUUGAACUAUAUUUGAAGCCUUUUUUUUUUGCUUCAAUUGCUUGAAUUAUGCUUAGCGAGUAAAAAAUUUAAGAUGUUUUCUUUCUUCUUUUUUUAGUUUCAUUAUUUUUAUUGUGUUUUUCUUUUGUCGUGUUGGUUGAUUAAUAUGUGUAUUUGUGUAUUUGAAUUAUUUUAUUUGUGAGAUUAUUGUUAAGUUGAAUUGACAUUUGUUGUAGUAAUUAUCAUCUAUAGAUCGUUUGAAGCCUAUCAUCUUCAAAAAGUCAUCCAACCAUAGCUAAACCUUACUUCAAAGACAAAGAAAAGGAAAAACUUAUUAAUUAUGUCAUUUUUAUUUAUGUUAAUUCAUCAACUUAUUAGAGUGUUCCACUUCCGAAGCUCAGAGUUCAAAGUGGCAACAAAAUGAAUAGUAGGGAAAAGCUCAACUUUGUAUGUACGGCUACAUAGCAAGCACCAAAGAAAGAAUUUGAACAACGUGGGGACUAAUAUAGGGGAAUAUAAGAGAAGAAGAACACUAAACCCGCUCAUGCAUAGCCUCAACAACUAACUGAAUAAGAAGGAUGACCAUGUUUUUUGUGCACAUAGCACCAACAUUUAUUUGAUUCCACAAAAUUGAAGAAGAAUUUAAUUAUGUACACAGAAGAUACACUUUCAGACUGCUCAAUCAAGUGAUAUCCAUCAAGUAUUCAAUUUUACUGACAAAGCCAUCGUAUGCAAACAACAAAAUAUAUUAAUAAUAAAAGUUGUCUAAGUUGGGAUAAAACCAUACAGGUAUGAAUGGACAACAGUGGAGAAGAGAAACUACAAAUCAUAUAUAAGAAAAACGACUAUUGAAGGAAUGAAGGACAAUUAUUUUUAUAUUUGAUAAAUUUUAAAAAAUUAUUUUCUUUGUACCUAAACAAUAUGAAGGGAAUUUUUUUUUGAACGAUUCAUUGCUAUGAAUUUAAGUCGAUUUUGUUCUAUUGUGGAGAUAUUUUAUUUGUGAUUAGAACUCUGGAGCAAGUGAACUACAAAGAAUAUGAAAUAUCUUAAUUUCAUGUAUUUUUUGAAAUUUUAUAUUCUAUUCGUAAUCACAGUUUUAUAAUAAAAUUUUAUGAAAAUCUACAUUGAUCACAUAUAUAAUAAAGGUAUUAUUUAGUUUAAACCUACAUUAUUAGAAAUUAUUUUUAAAAAAAUAAAUAAAUUUUACGAAUACAAAUUUGAUCUAGCUAACACGUUCAUAAUUUUCAUCCAACUACCCUAAUUUAUUAUUAUUAUUAAUAUGAUAUUAAUAGACAUAUUUUUAUUGUUGAUAUUAAUAAUUAUCAUGGUUCUACAUCUUUUAUCUCUCAAAUUAAUUUUAACUAAAAUAUUGUAGCAUAAAUUCAUUUAAAUUUUUUCACGAAAUAACCGCGCGAACGAAUUCCCUAGUUAUAACAUAACUUAGAACGAGCAUUCUCAAACCGUAUCAAUCAUUAAUGGACCAAGAACUAAUUAAAUGGCCAUUGACCUAAUUAUUAUUAAUUAGUAAUAAUAUACAAACUUAAAAAGAAAACCUCCAAAUAAGAAAAAAUAUAGCUAGGUUAAAUACAGAAGAAGAUAUGAACCACUUAGAAUAUUUCAAGUGUAGAAGUGACCAACUAAAGUGCCAAUUAGUCUAAAAGUGUCUAAAAAAACUCGGUUUAGGUCAGUAACCAUUUUUGUGUCUCACCAACCAACUUCAACAAAAUUUUGACUCAUUUUCUAAUUGGUCAUAAUUUUGCACUUGCCUUCCUAUAUAUAGUCCAUUCUAUUUUGUCUCUCUCAUCAAUUUCAUUUCUUUUCUAUCUUCAUUGGCAAAUCAAAACUAAAUAUUCUUGUAAAAAAUGGCUUUGGCUAAUGCACAAACAUUUCUAUUUCUUGUAGUGUUUUCUUUCAUGUUUGUCCUUAGUAUGGCCAACUUUAACUACACUUGGGCAGGAGGGAAGUGGAACAAAACCAAUUGCCCCUAUGGUAAUUAUCACCCAAAUGCUACUCAAACCUCAAAUAAAUUCAACGUUGGUGGUUCUGAAAAUUGGCAUUAUGGCUUCGACUACAUGGAUUGGGCUCACAAGAGUGGCCCUUUCUUUGUCAAUGACACAUUAGGUAUGUAUGUCUUCUUUAAUUUUAAAAAUUGAAGUUUUUUUACAAAUCGACAUUCUCCCUUUUAUCUAUCACUUAUUAAGGAUGAUAUACACACACUGACAUAUAUG